AACAGAUAGACAGAUUAUUGCAGUGCCAUAAGCUUUAUUUCCAUAGAGGAAUGAAUGACAGCCUUUAAACCAGCUAUGAUGGUUCACGCAAGAAGCCCUAUCUAGCCUGUAAUAGUGAAGCACUGUGGAGGUUGGACAAAAAGAACUCAGGAAGAAAUGAAACUCAUUCCAAAUGCGCUGUAUACAGAGGCAGGACUCAUCCACAUGAUCAAAAAUAAAAAUAAAAAAUGGUUGCCUGCUAGAAGAAAAGUAAAA
rnacentral:lncRNA from 1 species